rnacentral:lncRNA from 1 species
CUGACUCACACAGAGGCAGCUUCCAGCCUUCCACAGUUCUUCCAAUUCGACACAGUUAUUUAUUUAUUUUUUUAAGGUCCAAACUCCUGUGCAGAGCAAGCAUCCAAAUGCUGUCAUCCUCUCAGCCCCAUGCUCUAGCUCAUUUUUCACACCACUGGAUUUAAUUUACUAUUAUCGUGCCUGGAAUGUGUUUGCAUCUGUAUUCUUGAGAGAUUGCUAUACAGCUCAUUUGAGGCCUCACAAGAUUAAAACUUGGUAAGAAAGUAGACACGGAAGUGUGUCUCUGUCCAGUUCCACCUAAACUGUGCUGGCAGAAACUUUGGCUCCUGCUGCUUAGCUCCUUCAGCGACCUGCGAGUCUGUCUCACGAAAAGAUACCGACCGCCAUCUUGAAUUUCUAAGCACUAAACACGAAGAGAUGUGAGUUUCUCAAAAGAUGCUUCAGACCCUCUGAGCCCCUUUGUCUGCGUGGAACGGGUCUCUAGUCGCGGGUGGACAAAGCGUAGGAUGAGUGACAAACAGACGCACACAGGAGAGGUCGAGGAAUCUGAAUGUCAUUUUUCAAAUCGAGCAUCAGACUUUUUAUGCAGAAGACAAUAAGGAAGUUGGAUGACAUACCUGCAAGCUUUCCCAGAUAUCUCUGAAGAUACCAUUUUGAAUAGGACUCACAUCACUCACUGCCUUGGUAGGGUCAUCUUUGUUCCACAAGAGGAAAACUGUCCACGAGAGGGUGGAGAUCACUCUGGCCAUGCAUAAUCAGAUUAACAUCAACGGUCCUUUACUCUGAAGAAGCCAUGGAGACCCCUCUUGCUGAUUAAGCCAGCUCAGGCUCCUGUGGAUGCUAUGGCCCUGGGCACUGAGCCCAGCAUCUGAACUUGUUCCUGGACCAGAGGUUCGAGAUGUCCACUUCUGAGGCCAUUUACUUCUUUGUGGGCCACCAGCUGUU